GACAGUGCUGCCAAAGAGAAAAGUGAGAACAUGUGAGAGGAACAACCCCCCAGACAUGAAGGUCAGUGCAGAAGGAGGGCGAGGAGGCGCUCCAGGCUCCGGAGCUGAGGUUCCCCUGCAGCCCAUAGUGCAGCCCAAGG